UACGUAGGGCGCAAGCGUUGUCCGGAUUUAUUGGGUUUAAAGGGUGCGUAGGCGGCCCUGUAAGUCAGUGCUGAAAUAUCCCGGCUUAACCGGGAGGGUGGCAUUGAUACUGCGGGGCUAGAGUACAGAUGAGGUAGGCGGAAUUGACGGUGUAGCGGUGAAAUGCUUAGAUAUCGUCAAGAACACCUAUAGCGAAGGCAGCUUACUAGGCUGUAACUGACGCUGAGGCACGAAAGUGUGGGGAUCAAACAGG
rnacentral:rRNA from 1 species